CGAGGAGCAAUUGCCAGACCAUCACAGAGGAGGUAAUUUGUGUUUUUGUGUUAUCUGAUCAUCUCUAUCCAUCGUCGGAUGGAACAAUAGUGUUACUAUGUUUACUUAAUUAUAAUUCUUCGAUUGCGGCAUCCCUAUCUAGAACUCACGGGUCCUGCCCGUCUUGUUAUGACCUGCAUUGAUCCUGGGAACAUCGAGGUCGUGCUCAAAGUAAUUAACUCGACUGAUCUAGCAAGGUGGGCUACAUACCGCGUACGUACCGUCGAAUCGAUGCAGAUGGAUAUGUUGACUGGUAGAGAUUUUUUUUUCUUUUGAGAGUACGGUGACUUUCUUUUUUAGGGAAUUGAGAAUAUGGUCACUUGUACAUGUAUCAGCUACUGAUUCGGCCGGCAGGCAGCAACUCUUCUUAUGGGCCAGCCAGGAAGGCCUGGUAUCCCUCCUCGCCAUUACACGGUCCAGUCCAUAGGCCAGAGGCCCAAAUCACACAAGCGCACAACAUAGACUUCCACAAAGGCCUAGCUACUAGUACACAUAUAUAUCGGGGUGGGCCUGAUUUCGUGGCCCAGGACGGCCGCCCUGCCCCUCUGGGACGGGCCUGAUUUCGUAGGUAAACUCCUCAGAGCAUCUCUUCCGCUAAAACUUUCCCUCAAGAAAAAAAUUCUCUUCCGCUAAAACCCCUACAAAUAAAAUCUUCCGCUAAAACAAAAAUUUUGACAGAAAUUUUACAUAUUAGACAAAUUGUUGGUAAAAGCCACGGUCAAAGAAAAUGAAAUACAACUUAAUUAUAUU
rnacentral:lncRNA from 1 species